rnacentral:rRNA from 1 species
CCAAUAGCGUAUAUUAAAGUUGUUGCAGUUAAAAAGCUCGUAGUUGAAUUUCGGAAUCAAUAUGUUGGUCGUGCCAUUGGUACGUACUGGCAUUAUUGGUUUCUACCUUCUGAAGAACCUCGAUGUCAUUAAUUUGGUGUCUUGGGGAAUCAGGACUGUUACUUUGAAAAAAUUAGAGUGUUUAAAGCAGGCUCGCGCUUGAAUACAUUAGCAUGGAAUAAUGAAAUAGGACGUUUGAUUCUAUUUUGUUGGUUUCUAGGAUCGACGUAAUGAUUAAUAGGGAUAGUUGGGGGCAUUAGUAUUCAAUUGUCAGAGGUGAAAUUCUUGGAUUUAUUGAAGACUAACUACUGCGAAAGCAUUUGCCAAGGAUGUUUUCAUUAAUCAAGAACGAAAGUUAGGGGAUCGAAGACGAUCAGAUACCGUCGUAGUCUUAACCAUAAACUAUGCCGACUAGGGAUCGGAUGAUGUUAAUUUUUUAAUGACUCAUUCGGCGCCUUACG